CAUAAGCGCACAGCUUCGCAUGAAGCAGUGUGAAAAACUCCGGUGGUACAAGAUGGACCCGCGUCUGAUUAGCUGGUUGGUGAGGUAACGGCCCACCAAGGCGACGAUCAGUAGCCGGCCUGAGAGGGUGAACGGCCACAUUGGGACUGAGACACGGCCCAAACUCCUACGGGAGGCAGCAGUGGGGAAUAUUGCACAAUGGGGGAAACCCUGAUGCAGCAACGCCGCGUGAGUGAAGAAGUAUUUCGGUAUGUAAAGCUCUAUCAGCAGGAAAGAAAAUGACGGUACCUGACUAAGAAGCUCCGGCUAACUACGUGCCAGCAGCCGCGGUAAUACGUAGGGGGCAAGCGUUAUCCGGAUUUACUGGGUGUAAAGGGAGCGUAGACGGUUUUGCAAGUCUGAAGUGAAAUCCCGGGGCUUAACCCCGGGACUGCUUUGGAAACUGUAGGACUAGAGUGCAGGAGAGGUAAGUGGAAUUCCUAGUGUAGCGGUGAAAUGCGUAGAUAUUAGGAGGAACACCAGUGGCGAAGGCGGCUUACUGGACUGUAACUGACGUUGAGGCUCGAAAGCGUGGGGAGCAAACAGGAUUAGAUACCCUGGUAGUCCACGCCGUAAACGAUGAUUACGAGGUGUUGGUGGUUAUGCCCCAUCGGUGCCGC
rnacentral:rRNA from 1 species